CCUACGGGAGGCAGCAGUAGGGAAUAUUGCUCAAUGGGGGAAACCCUGAAGCAGCAACGCCGCGUGCAGGAUGAAGGUUUUCGGAUUGUAAACUCCUUUUGUUAGAGAAGAUAAUUACGGUAUCUAACGAAUCAUCCCCGGCUAACCCCGUUCCAGCAGCCGCGGUAAUACGGAGGGUGCAAGCUUUACUCGGAAUCACUGGGCGUAAAGAGCGCGUAGGCGGGUAAGCAAGUCAGAUGUGAAAUCCUAGGGCUUAACCGUAGAACGGCAUUUGAAACUGUUAUGCUAGAGUAUGGGAGAGGUAGGUGGAAUUCUUGGUGUAGGGGUAAAAUCCGUAGAGAUCAAGAGGAAUACUCAUUGCGAAGGCGACCUGCUAGAACAUAACUGACGCUGAGGCGCGAAAGCGUGGGGAGCAAACAGGAUUAGAUACCCCAGUAGUC
rnacentral:rRNA from 1 species